AAUCAACGCUGGCGGCGUGCCUCAGACAUGCAAGUCGAACGCUGCUGUUCGCCUUCGGGUGGACAGCGGAGUGGCGCACGGGUGAGUAACACGUAGGUAAUCUACCUUUGGGUGGGGAAUAACAGCCGGAAACGGCUGCUAAUACCGCAUAAUGCAGCGGCAUCACAUGAUGACAGUUGUUAAAGCGGGGGAUCGUAAGACCUCGCGCCUGAAGAGGAGCCUGCGGCAGAUUAGGUAGUUGGUGAGGUAAUGGCUCACCAAGCCUGCGAUCUGUAACGGCUGAGAGGGCGUCGGUCACACUGACACUGACAGUACGGUCAGA
rnacentral:rRNA from 1 species